AGUCGUAACAAGGUCUCCGUUGGUGAACCAGCGGAGGGAUCAUUGCUGGAACGCGCUUCGGCGCACCCAGAAACCCUUUGUGAACUUAUACCUAUUGUUGCCUCGGCGUAGGCCGGCCUCUUCACUGAGGCCCCCUGGAAACAGGGAGCAGCCCGCCGGCGGCCAACCAAACUCUUGUUUCUACAGUGAAUCUCUGAGUAAAAAACAUAAAUGAAUCAAAACUUUCAACAACGGAUCUCUUGGUUCUGGCAUCGAUGAAGAACGCAGCGAAAUGCGAUAAGUAAUGUGAAUUGCAGAAUUCAGUGAAUCAUCGAAUCUUUGAACGCACAUUGCGCCCUCUGGUAUUCCGGAGGGCAUGCCUGUUCGAGCGUCAUUUCAACCCUCAAGCCUGGCUUGGUGAUGGGGCACUGCCUGUAAAAGGGCAGGCCCUGAAAUCUAGUGGCGAGCUCGCCAGGACCCCGAGCGUAGUAGUUAUAUCUCGCUCUGGAAGGCCCUGGCGGUGCCCUGCCGUUAAACCCCCAACUUCUGAAAAUUUGACCUCGGAUCA
rnacentral:rRNA from 1 species